rnacentral:rRNA from 1 species
GACGAACGCUGGCGGCGUGCCUAAUACAUGCAAGUAGAACGCAGUUGCGAACGGGUGAGUAACGCGUAGGUAACUGCCUGGUAGCGGGGGAUAACUAUUGGAAACGAUAGCUCAUACCGCAUACUACCAGCUGGACCUGCGUUGUAUUAGGUAGUUGGUGGGGUAACGGCUCACCAAGGCAACGAUACAUAGCCGAGUUGGGGGGGUGAUCGGCCACACUUGGAAUGGGACACGGGCCAGACUCCUACGGGGGGGAGCAAGAGGGGAAUUUCGGCAAUGGGGGGAACCCUGGCCGAGGAACGCCGGGGGAGUGAAGAAGGUCUUCGGAUCGUAAAGCUCUGUUGUGAAGGAAGCGGUACUUAACGAGAAAGGGACGGCUAACUACGUGCCAGCAGCCGCGGUAAUAC